GGGGGCUUUUCCCACAGUCUUCAAGACUCACCCUGCCCGGGGCAGGGAGGUGACCUGCCCCAAGAGGGAUCCCAGAGCACAGAUUCCAGUCGAGGGCAGCAGGGAAGAUGUCCUCCGCUGACCCUGUACCACACCACCACCUCCUCAAACUUCAGCUGAUGCUGGGCAUGGAGGACUUUUGCUCUACCCAUCUGGGCACCAGACAGAUGACUCCCUCUUCCGUGAUGGGCCCAACUCCUCCCACUUUACAAAACAUGACUCAUUCCCUAGGUCCCUCCGACCUGUGGGCUGAGAAUGAUGGUGCUGUCAUGAUCCUGUUGCUUCCAGAACUUCACAGGCUGCAGAGAUACAGGAGGAGCUGGAGACCCCUCCGGCCCAAGCCUCUGCAGGGACCCAGGACACCAGGCCAGGCCUCUCUGCCUGCAACCACUGGGGGCCUCCCAGAGUAUCCCUGGGCUCCACCAGAGCUAGGGAUGGGGACAGGAGAGAGAUGGAAGGAAAUGUGGGUCCAACAUGGAUGAGGCAGGAGAGACUCAGAGAGGAAAGGUUAAGGCCCGCACUCUGCAGCCGCCUCUCCCUGAAUCCUUCCACCUGCUCCCUAUGCUCCAUUCCCCACAAGCCUCCCUCAAAGCUCUGCAAAGCGGGAGUCAGAUUUCACUCCCCAACUUCCAGUCCCGCUUACUCAAAAAGCCAGAUUCUCCAGGUGGCCUGCAGGGCCUGGGGUGGGCCCACGACUCAUUCAGCCUCAUCUCUCCAUACUCACAAUGGCCUCUAGUGAUCCUCAUCCCACGGUAUUUGCACCCUCAUUUAGUCCCCCUCCCACGCUGAGCAGAGCUGACCUGUGUGACUAGGUGACGGGAACCUGACGUACAAGGCUUGGUCAUAAAGACGUUACCACCUCCUCCUUGCUCUCUGGGAUCACUUGCUCUGAGGAAGCCAGCUGCCAUGUUGGAAGGACACUCAAACUGUCCUCUGGGGUGGCCGCUGUGAGGAGGAACUGAGGCCUCCUGCCAACAGCCAGCGCUGACUUGCCAGAUACAUGAGACGUCUCGGGAGCAGAUCCUCCAGCCCCAGUCAAGCAUCAGAUGACUGCCGCUGUGGCUGAUGGCUUGUCUGGAACCUAAUGAGAGACAAUGAGCCAGAACCAGCCCACUAAGCCCCUCCAUAAUUCCUGACCACAGAAACUGGGAGAUAGUGUUUGUGGUUGUUUAAUUUGUGACACAAGAGAUAACCCUAAUACACUCCUCUUUUGUGUCCUUGACCUUCAUCCCACUCUACUGUUUAUCCUUCCCUCGGGGCGGAGUAGGAGAAAGGAAUCAUCAGCACUGGGCUGGAUGGAAGGGACAUCCUGGAUGUUCUCCCAGGACCGAGGGCCAAGCGGGGAGAGAUCUGGGCAGAGGGUUUCCACAGUGCCCCAUGCCAUCAGGGGACUGGCUGGACUCCUUCAGGCCUAUGGAUCUCGCUUGCCCUUAGGAAAGGGGACAUCUGAGAAGGGGGAGCCCACCAGUGCUGGGGGAGCACAGGCCUGGGUCAAGUCAUGCCAGCUCCCUUUCCCCUCUGGGAAAUGGGAUAGUUGUGAGCCCCCCACACAAAGCUUCAGAGAGGAUGAAAUGUGGCUUAAAUGAGAUCUGUGACCUGAUUCUUCCCUCACAUCUGUAGGGGCAGGGAGGGCCUCUCUUCAGGGCCCUGAUUUCCAUCCUCAGGGAGCCUCCAGACCAGUUCAGCUGGGAGGGUAAGCAACAUGGAGUGGAGGCUCAGAGAGGUUGAGCAAUUUGCCCAGCGUCACACAGUCAGCAAGUGGCAGAGUUGGGAGGCAAAUCAUGUAUCUGGUCCAGGGCCCAUCAUCCAGGCCUGAGUGACAGCUAGCCUGACCCCAGCCUGGAAGAGGAUGCUCAACCAGACAAUCCUUAGGAGUGUAGCAGGUGCCCAGCCCAUCCUGAAGUGUCUGAGGGCUGAGGGCACUCCUGUGUAAAUAUCACUGACCGUGGGCGACAGCCAGCCUUCAGUACUGAUGAAUCUGGACAAGGAGUCAGCAGUCCCGGCGUGGCCUUGCCUGAGUCACUUCCCCUCUCUCUGGGUCUCGGUCUCCCCAGCCUCCAAAUGGGGGCUCAGAGGACUAGCUCUGGGCCCCUCACCCUAAGUGAGCUGAGAACCUUUGUCCUCAGGAACACGAGGGAGUGUUUCGCCCUGGGCUAAGCAUUGAAUUAAUCCUGACAUGAUACUCCUGGCAUCCUCAUUCCCCAGAUGAGAGAACUGAGGAUAGAACUGGUGAUGGGAUUUGCUCAUCCAAGAUCUGAACCCAAUUCUUGACCCUAGUUUUCUUACAAGAGGACUCAUUCCUGGCACGUGGGGGAAUAUGCCCUCUUCCAGAUGCAGGACCCUUGGAGAGCAGGAACAGAGGCCUCCGUGGCCCAGUCACGCCCUCCCUGCUAUAGACGUGUGUGACUCUCCCUGGAGCCCACGCCUGCAGUGUUCAACCAUGAGGGAAAGGCCCUAUGGACCUCAUGAAGAGCUCACAGGCUUGAAAGGAAAACAUGGCUGCUCCUGCCUCCCCCGGGUCACAGCUAAGGUCGUGACCUGACUUCGCUCUCUGGGCCAGCCACCCUCACCUGCACUGCCUGGUACGGUAGCCAUGUGACCAGUCUGAACUGAGAUCCGCUGUGAGUAUGAGAUACAUACCGGCAGGAUUCCAAAGACUUAGUACAAAGAAACCUCAGUGAUAAUUUUAAUAUUGAUUAUAUCUGAAAUGAUAAUUUCGCUCUAUUGGUUUAAAGAAAAUAUUAAAAUUAACUUCACUUA